AUGAACGCUGGCGGCGUGCCUAAUACAUGCAAGUCGAGCGCACGGACGAGAAGCUUGCUUCUCUGAUGUUAGCGGCGGACGGGUGAGUAACACGUGGAUAACCUACCUAUAAGACUGGGAUAACUUCGGGAAACCGUAGCUAAUACCGGAUAAUAUUUUGAACCGCAUGGUUCAAAAGUGAAAGACGGUCUUGCUGUCACUUAUAGAUGGAUCCGCGCUGCAUUAGCUAGUUGGUAAGGUAACGGCUUACCAAGGCAACGAUGCAUAGCCGACCUGAGAGGGGGAUGGGCCACACUGGAACUGAGACACGGCCCAGACUCCUACGGGAGGCAGCAGGAGGGAAUCUUCCGAAAUGGGCGGAAGCCUGACGGAGCAACGCCGCGUGAGUGAUGAAGGUCUGCGGAUCGGAAAACUCUGUUAUGAGGGAAGAACAUAUGUGUAAGUAACUGUGCACAUCUUGACGGUACCGAAUCAGAAAGCCACGGCUAACUACGG
rnacentral:rRNA from 1 species